rnacentral:rRNA from 1 species
CUAUGGAGUAAAUUUUCCUAAGGGUAAAAAACGGCGGGGGACCGAUAGCGACCAAAGUACCGUGAGGGAAAGAUGAAAAGAACUUUGAAAAGAGAGUUAAACAGUACGUGAAAUUCGUUGAAAGGGAAACGAUUGAAGCCAGUCGUACCUUCGGGUAAUCAGCCUUUCGGGUGCGAUUCUGUGGAGUUUGAGGAGCUUAACACCUUCAUGCUUUGCAUUUUUGGUGCUUUUGGGGGUACUUGCCCGGGGGGUUGGUUAACACCAUUUUUGGGGGCCAAAAAAGGACGGGAGGAGGUGCUUCAUAAA